AUACGGAGGGUGCAAGCGUUAUCCGGAUUUAUUGGGUUUAAAGGGUGCGCAGGCGGACCUGUCAGUCAGUGGGGAAAUCCCGGGGCUCAACCCCGGAACUGCCAUUGAUACUACAGGUCUUGAAUACGGUUGAAGUAGGCGGAAUGUAGCAUGUAGCGGUGAAAUGCAUAGAUAUGCUACAGAACACCGAUCGCGAAGGCAGCUCACUAAGCCGAUAUUGACGCUCAGGCACGAAAGCGUGGGGAGCGAACAGGAGUAGAAACCCUAGUAGUCC
rnacentral:rRNA from 1 species